rnacentral:lncRNA from 1 species
UAUCGGAUCGAAAUCUGGAUAAACAUUCAUGCCCUUCAGGGAUCUACUGGACUGAAAUUUGGAUUAACAUCUGUGCCCUUUGGAGCUUCACUAAAUUAGAAUCUGGAUUGGUGUUCAUGCCCUUCGGGGCUUUACCAGAUUGAGAUCCAGAUUGAUACAUGUGCCUCAUGAGGCUUUAUCGGAUUGGAAUCUGGAUUGAUAUUCAUGCCCUUUGGGACUUUAUCGGAUUGAUACAUGUGCCCUAUGAGGUUUUAUCGG